rnacentral:rRNA from 1 species
GUGGGGAAUUUUGGACAAUGGGCGAAAGCCUGAUCCAGCCAUUCUGCGUGCAGGAUGAAGGCCCUCGGGUUGUAAACUGCUUUUGUACAGAACGAAAAAGCUCCGGCUAAUACCUGGAGUCCAUGACGGGACUGUAAGAAUAAGCACCGGCUAACUACGUGCCAGCAGCCGCGGUAAUACGUAGGGUGCAAGCGUUAAUCGGAAUUACUGGGCGUAAAGCGUGCGAAGGCGGUUUUGUAAGACAGAGGUGAAAUCACCGGGCUCAACCUGGGAACGGCCUUUGUGACUGCAGGGCUGGAGUGCGUCAGAGGGGGAUGGAAUUCCGCGUGUAGCAGUGAAAUGCGUAGAUAUGCGGAGGAACACCGAUGGCGAAGGCAAUCCCCUGGGCCUGCACUGACGCUCAUGCACGAAAGCGUGGGGAGCAAACAGGAUUAGAAACCCCUGUAGUCC